UACAGAGGUCUCAAGCGUUGUUCGGAUUCAUUGGGCGUAAAGGGCGCGUAGGUGGCCCGGUGAGUCUUUGGUGAAAGCGCGGGGCUCAACCCUGCGUCGGCCAGGGAUACUGCCGCGGCUCGAGCACUGUAGAGGCAGGCGGAAUUCCGGGUGUAGCGGUGGAAUGCGUAGAGAUCCGGAAGAACACCGGUGGCGAAGGCGGCCUGCUGGGCAGUGGCUGACGCUGAGGCGCGACAGCGUGGGGAGCAAACAGG
rnacentral:rRNA from 1 species